AACGAACGCUGGCGGCCGGCUUAACACAUGCAAGUCGAACGCCCCGCAAGGGGAGUGGCAGACGGGUGAGUAACGCGUGGGAAUCCAACCAGUUCUACGGAACAACCCCGGGAACCUUGUGCUAAUACCGUACACGCCCUAAGGGGGCAAGAUUUAUCGGCAUUGGAUGAGCCCGCGUUGGAUUCGCUAGUUGGUGGGGUAAUGGCCUACCAAGGCGACGAUCCCUAGCUGGUCUAAGUGGUUGAUCAGCCACCCAGGGACGGUGACACGGCCCAGACUCCUACGGGGGGCAGCAGUGGGGAAUAUUGGACAAUGGGCGCAAGCCUGAUCCAGCCAUGCCGCGUGAGUGAUGAAGGCCUUAGGGUUGUAAAGCUCUUUCAGAAGGGACGAUAAUGACGGUACCUACAGAAGAAGCCCCGGCUAACUUCGUGCCAGCCGCCGCCGUAACAC
rnacentral:rRNA from 1 species